rnacentral:lncRNA from 1 species
AGAAGCCGCAUGCGUUUUCCUGGCCCUGGAGGUGUACACAGCAGCUGGGGCAUCUGGGAAGACCAGACAAGUGGGCUGACAAUCCUAGGUCCGUGAGAUUGCAAGAUUGUCCUCUAAGUCUAAAUUGUAAGAAGAGGGUACAUUUUACACCAGACCCUCUAGUAGUCUCUGAUGCCAAAGACCUGACAGGGCAGCAGCACAAAUGAGCCCAAGCAGGUCAGUUCAGACAAAGCAAAGUGGGACUUAUAACAUCCCAUUCCUCAGUCACUAGCAAUACAAUUAUCUGGUCCUCAGAGGGCAUUUUCCCUGUCUCGUGUGGAUGCGGACCUUGAGACAGCCUUG